GUCUAUAGCCGUGCAACCCUGAACAUGCCUAAUUUUGGAAGCUAAGCAGGGUCAGGCCUGGUUGGUACUUAGAUGGGAGACCACCUAGGAAUACCAGGUGCUGCUGUAGGCA
ensembl:rRNA 5S_rRNA 5S ribosomal RNA